GACGAACGCUGGCGGCGUGCUUAACACAUGCAAGUCGAACGCUGAGGCCCUGCUUUUGUUGGGUGGAUGAGUGGCGAACGGGUGAGUAACACGUGAGUAACCUGCCCUCUUCUUUGGGAUAACGCCAGGAAACGGGUGCUAAUACCGGAUAUUAACUGGUCUUCGAUUGGGGGUGGGUGGAAAGGGCUUUUCUGGUGGGUGAUGGGGUCGCGGCCUAUCUGCUUGUUGGUGGGGUGAUUGCCUACCGAGUCUUUGACGGGUGGCCGGCCUGGUAGGGUGACCGGUAACAUGGCGACUGACAUUGGGCCCAGGCUACGACGGGGGGCAGCAGGGGGGAAAAUUGCACAAUGGGCGCAAGCCUGAUGCGGCGACGCAGCGAGAGGGAUGGAGUCCUGCGUGUUGUGAUCCUCGUUCGCACAUGGUCAAGCCGCAACAAUGGUUGUGGUGACGGUAGUGGGUAAAGAAGCGCCGGCUAACUACGUG
rnacentral:rRNA from 1 species